GGCCUACUGUCUCAUGGAUGGGUUUCCUAUGCUAUGGUGGUGGGAUUGAUUGUUGGGAAACUCCGGUCAAAGUCCGGGACUGUGCCGCAACUGUGAUGGGGUGAACUCAGCUAUUGUCUUGUACCCACAAGUCAGAACACCAACAUCAAACCGGAUCAAGUC
rfam:Phormidium sp. OSCR ITZY_scaf_503, whole genome shotgun sequence.